GAGGGUAUAGCUCAGUGGUAGAGUGUAUGCUUAGCAUGCACGAGGUCCUUGGUUCAAUCCCCAAUACCUCCA
rnacentral:tRNA from 1 species